AUCAAGCGGCUGAAGGCAGAGGAUAAUGCACAAUGAAGUAAACGAGACAGAGAGCAUCCAGGAAAACAUAGCCAUGGAGGGCAUGAUUGUCGAAGGCUGUGAGACCCUCCUGGACACCAGCCAGACUUUUGUGAGAUGGGGCAUGGCACCCUGCCUCCCCCCAACAUCAAGUGAUAUUGACCUUUCCCUGAAGAGGCAGGAAUGAGAAAAUAAGACGAGAAGACCCUAUGGAGCUUCAAUUAAUUAAAAAAAAAACCAAAGCAUUCCUUACACUAAUUGAAUGAAAAGUAUUAGUUUAUAUAUGACUCUGUAAAGGACCACAUCAUUGGCCCCAUGAUCUGUGGAGACACCAGUAUUUACA